rnacentral:tRNA from 1 species
GGGGGCGUAGUAUAACCCGGUAGAAUAGCCGGCUCCAGACCGGCUGAUUGGGGUUCAAAUCCCCACGCCCUCA